UAUAAGAGAUUUUAAGUUUUUACUUGUAUUGUUUGACCACUCGUCUUAUUCAAAAAAUUUUAAAAUUAUUAUUAUUAUUUGAUUUACUUUAUUAUCCAAAGUACUUUAAGCACAACUUUUCGUUUUUUAUAUUUGCACAAAUUUUUUAAAUAAGACGAGUGGUCAAACAAUACAAACAAAAAUUCAAAACCCUUGUA
rnacentral:pre_miRNA from 1 species